GAAAGAGGAGCAGCAGCAGGGGAGGAGCUUGAGGAGAGUAGAAUUGGCCUCAUGGUCCACAGGAAGUGUUGCACUAACCACCACUAUCAAAAGGCGAGGACACAGAAGCCAGGGGAGUAAAGUUGCCUCUGGGCAGGAGAGGAGGAGCCAGGAGGAAGUGAGGAGACCAGGGCAGUGCGGGCGUGGACUGCUGAGACCUAGGAAGAAAGCGGUGUCCUGGGCCAAAGGGCGGGCAACUGGGUCACACCCAGUUUCGGAGGACGGCGCGGCUCGCCCUGCCCUGCGCCGUGAGCUAAGCUGACUGACUCCAGUGGCCAGACAGACUGGGGAGAUCCCGAGAGAGACCCCUGGAACAGCAAAACCUUGGUGUAUCCCUAUCUCAUAGCCCUCCGUCGUCUCCUGAGAGGUGAAAAGAUGACUUCUUAAUCAUAACUCCAAGCUGAUAUUCUUAUACUAUUGUGGGGCGGGAGGUACACAAUUUAGAAACAUGAUUCAAGCCUAAUUACAUUAAAAAAAUGAAUCAUUAUUUACAAAUCACUUCAACUCCUCAGCCCAGAGGUCAGAAAGGACUGCAGGAGUUUAAUGAUUUGUUUCUGAAAGGAUCAUGGAAAAGCUGCAGUAAAGGCCCAUUCCUCCUCUGUGUCCUGCCGACCCAAUAGACGCGUCUCGCAGCUGUGAUCGCUGGUGAUGAUGGUGAUCACAGUACCGGGGGACUCCCCUGGUGGUGUCCUCAGGGCACCACUGUUCUCGACCCCAGGGCGAGCCAGGCUUCUGACAGCACAGGAGUGUGGUUUCCGCCUGUAGAUUCACCAUUCCACUGGUCCCAUUCCUUCAGGAUUUGGAAGGGAAAAACUGCAAAACAUUUUGGUUUUGUGUUUGGUUUCAUUGGUGAGAAACAUCUGAUCUGGUGCCAGCACUUCAGAAAUGCUGCCUGCCUCCCUGUCCGUACACUGAAUUGGGCGAGGAGCAAAUGAAUCUCGGAUCACGGUCACACUUCGGUUUACAGCAGGCAGGGAGCUUUGAGUGGUGCCGAGCUCACUGGCCUCACCGUGCUAAGCUCUGAGUUCAAUUCCUAGCACCUCAGAAAUAAAAAUACAAGCAUUCAAAGAGAAAGCAUGCCGACCCAUGGAGUUCCAAUGGGUUUUAGGAACUCUCUGGAAGAAUCAGCAGAUAAACACUGAGCAGAGUCAUGAGGAAAACGGCAGAAUCCACAGCUCAGGUCCCCACCUGGCAGACCUGAUGGGGAGGCUGCAGCCUCCUUCGAAUGGAGGGACAGGCACUGUUGGCCAAGGGUCCUCCUGCCGCAUGGGGCUCCACUAGGCCCAGGAGCCCAAGCGAGAGAGCAGCACCAAGGAAGGAGAUUGGACCAGGGGGUCACAGGCAGAGCGGGGACUCCGUGGGAGUGGAGGGGGUGAAAUAAGCUGAAAGUAAAGCGAUUUUAAAAGCUCUUUUUGCAAAUAAAGCCUUGAUCAUGU
rnacentral:lncRNA from 1 species